rnacentral:rRNA from 1 species
GAUGAACGCUGGCGGCGUGCCUAAUACAUGCAAGUCGAGCGAACAGACGAGGAGCUUGCUCCUCUGACGUUAGCGGCGGACGGGUGAGUAACACGUGGAUAACCUACCUAUAAGACUGGGAUAACUUCGGGAAACCGGAGCUAAUACCGGAUAAUAUAUUGAACCGCAUGGUUCAAUAGUGAAAGACGGUUUUGCUGUCACUUAUAGAUGGAUCCGCGCCGCAUUAGCUAGUUGGUAAGGUAACGGCUUACCAAGGCAACGAUGCGUAGCCGACCUGAGAAGGUGAUCGGCCACACUGGAACUGAGACACGGUCCAGACUCCUACGGGAGGCAGCAGUAGGGAAUCUUCCGCAAUGGGCGAAAGCCUGACGGAGCAACGCCGCGUGAGUGAUGAAGGUCUUCGGAUCGUAAAAUUCUGUUAUUAGGGAAGAACAAAUGUGUAAGUAACUAUGCACGUCUUGACGGUACCUAAUCAGAAAGCCACGGCUAACUACGUG